UAAAAAUUAAAAGUUGAACAAACUUUUUUUAUUUAAUUUCUAUUUUAAAAAAAUUUUUAAAUUCAACAUCGAGGUAAUAAACUAAAAUUUUAAUUUACUCUAUUAAUUUUAAUUAUC
rnacentral:rRNA from 1 species